rnacentral:lncRNA from 1 species
ACUUAAAAACUUUAACUGAUGCCUCCAAUCGCCGAAAAACGAUGAGGACUUAAAAACUUUAACUGAUGCCUCCAAUCGCCAAAAAACGAUGAGGACUUAAAAACUUUUUAGAAAGCAUGCAAUAUAUCUUUACUCGCCUUAAAUCACGUAUAAGUGACAAGGUCUUUCUUCAAAACCUUUUUGGAAAACAGCAAACAUGCAAUCUGAAAACGCCUUAUACUUCGUAAACUCUUCUUUUAUUGGGUGGCCUCAUUAAAAACCCUCCUUAGGGAAAAAAGAGUGCCCCCUUCAAACUGUUUCAUCAGAGAGAGACAUUGUAAUAUAACUUUUGUGUUUGUCUUUACUUACAAAGCUCUUAACUAUAGUACAACUUCAGGUGCGUGGCGUUCCAAGUGCG